UGCAAGUGCUUUUAAUGUUCAAAGACAUGGAGAAAUCAACAAUGUCAGUUAUACAAUUUGUGUUGCAUCUUCUUGCUCUUCAUCUUCAGUAUUCAGAGGUUCACUCGCUUGCCAAUACUUCUUCUCAUGAUUUUAGCUACUUGAAGUUUGUGUACAACGCUACUGAUACAAGCUUGGAAGGAUCAUAUGACUACAUUGUAGUCGGUGGAGGAACAUCAGGGUGUCCAUUGGCAGCAACUUUAUC